GCUGGGCGCAGUGGUGCACGCCUGUAAUCCCAAGUGCUAGGGAGGCUGAGACAGAAGGAUCCUGAGUUCAAAGCCAGCCUCAGCAACCAUGAGGCACUAAGCAACUCAGUGAGACUCUAUCUCUA
rnacentral:sRNA from 1 species